GAAGAAGAAGAAGAAGAAGAAGAAGAAGAAGGAGAAGGAGAAGAAGAAAGAGAAGAAGGAGAAGAAGAAGGAGAAGAUGAUUACAAUACUUAUCUUAUUUUGAGCUUAUGAUGUCAUUUUGGAGAAAGAUAAGCUAAGUAUAUGCCAUUUAUGAGCUAACCAAGGUUCUUAUGCUAUUUUGACCUAACUAAGCUAAUUAUGUCAUAAAUGAACUAAAUAAGCU
rnacentral:lncRNA from 1 species